rnacentral:rRNA from 1 species
AGUUGUAUCCUGGCUCAGAACGAACGCUGGCGGCAGGCCUAACACAUGCAAGUCGAGCGCACUCUUCGGAGUGAGCGGCGGACGGGUUAGUAACGCGUGGGAAUAUGCCCUUCUCUAAGGAAUAGCCACUGGAAACGGUGAGUAAUACCUUAUACGCCCUUCGGGGGAAAGAUUUAUCGGAGAAGGAUUAGCCCGCGUAAGAUUAGAUAGUUGGUGGGGUAAUGGCCUACCAAGUCUACGAUCUUUAGCUGGUUUUAGAGGAUGAUCAGCAACACUGGGACUGAGACACGGCCCAGACUCCUACGGGAGGCAGCAGUGGGGAAUCUUGGACAAUGGGCGCAAGCCUGAUCCAGCCAUGCCGCGUGAGUGAUGAAGGCCUUAGGGUCGUAAAGCUCUUUCGCCAGAGAUGAUAAUGACAGUAUCUGGUAAAGAAACCCCGGCUAACUCCGUGCCAGCAGCCGCGGUAAUACGGAGGGGGUUAGCGUUGUUCGGAAUUACUGGGCGUAAAGCGCACGUAGGCGGAUCAGAAAGUAAGGGGUGAAAUCCCAGGGCUCAACCCUGGAACUGCCUCUUAAACUCCUGGUCUUGAGUUCGAGAGAGGUGAGUGGAAUUCCGAGUGUAGAGGUGAAAUUCGUAGAUAUUCGGAGGAACACCAGUGGCGAAGGCGGCUCACUGGCUCGAUACUGACGCUGAGGUGCGAAAGUGUGGGGAGCAAACAGGAUUAGAUACCCUGGUAGUCCACACCGUAAACGAUGAAUGCCAGUCGUCGGGUAGCAUGCUAUUCGGUGACACACCUAACGGAAUUAAGCAUUCCGCCUGGGGAGUACGGUCGCAAGAUNAAACUCAAAGGAAUUGACGGGGG